ACAGCUAAGGGUACGUAAUAGAGACGAAACAAAAGUCACAUAAACCUUUUAAAGAUAGAAGAUAUAAACCCUGAGACUUUCAUUUCUGUCUGCAAACCUUUUAAGUUGUUUUUUUUGUAUGUAUGAGUGUUUUGCCUGCAUGCAUGUAUGUGUACCGUUUGCCCUCAGUGCCCAUGGAGAACAGAAGAGGGCAUCAGGUAAUCUGAAUCUACGGACAGCUGUAGUCACGCAGCGUAGGUGCCGGGAAGGAACACUAAUCUUCUGCUAGAGCAGCCAGUGCUCAUAAACGCUGAGCCAUCCUUCCAGCCCUGUGUGCAAGUCUCUUAGCCGAGAAGAGCAGGCCUCCCAGGGAUGUCAACCGGCCAGGGCAUAGCAAGAUACAACAAGGCUGGGCACAAACCCCCGUGUCAAGGCUGUAUGAGGCGACCCAGUAGGAGGAAAAGGUCCCACGAGCCGGCGAAAGAGACACUCCCGCCCACUCCCACCGCCAGGACUCCAAGCGAGCAACCUUCACAUAGAUGCAGAGGACCUAGCUCAGACCCACGCUGGCGGCUCUGUGGUUGCUGCUUCGGUCUCUGUGAGCCCCCGGGGGGCCCUGCUGAUGACGUGGGCCAUUGUUUCCUUAGUGCCCGUGCCCGUCAACCCCUCUGGCUCCCACGACGCUUCCUCCCCAUCUUCCACAGGGCUCCCCGAGCUCCAAGGGAAGGGACUGGGUGAGUUCCUCAGUUUGGUUAGCUGUGGGUCUCUGCGUCUGCUCCCGUCGGCUGCCGGAGAAAACCCGAUGGUGAUGAUGAUUAGCCGCGCACCAACCUAUUCUCAUGGAAUCUCUUUCUUGCGUUUUCCUGUUACUGUGUGUCUCUGAGGCGCUCCCGGAUCUCAGACUGCCCUCAAACUUUGUAUGUGGCUGUGGACAGGACCCAGGGCCUCCCACACUCUGGGUAAGCCUUCUACCAAUGGAGCCACUCCCUGCCCCCCUUUUGUUUGAGCCAGUGUUUCCAUGUACCCCAGAUGGCAUCUAACUUGUUGUACUGUUGAGGAUAAACUUGAAACUUCCCUU